ACAACUGGAGUACAAAAAACUAGAUGUAUAUCCUCUUAAUUGUAAACAAUCACAGAUUGAAUAACACUGCAGGAGUCCUUCAGCCAUAACCUUUGUGGUUUGGUCUAGGCUAGAAUCUCCAUUUGAACCUGGUUUAGUUCAGCUGUGUGCGUGAUUUUAACCGGGUCUCUGAGGGGU
rfam:Triticum aestivum genome assembly, contig: Triticum_aestivum_CS42_TGACv1_scaffold_328269_4BS